GCACGAUGGUUCACUUGGAUUAUCUUUCUACUGCUGCAGAUUACCAGUAAUGAUGAAAUAUUACGUAUGUUAGUGUUGUGAAGCUCCCGGCCAAGUGGCUUCGUGUCACCGUGGAGUUCACAGAGUUCCCCCCGUAGGCCAUUUGGAUUUGGCACCAACGUAUUUAAUCAGAUGUACAUUUCGUGAGACCUCCGAUUGGAUGAAUCGUCCUUCUCUAUUCAAUCCCUGGACGUCAGGCUGUUGGAGGGUCUCCUGAGGUCUUCCCCAGGAGGGGAAGUGGUCUCGGUCCGGAGGUUCCUUCCUCUCGUCUUUGGAGGAGACGAGGUAGACGAGCAGCAGGACCACCAGAGCCGCCAACAGGGAGGCGGAGCCAGAGGUCUGGAGGAACCCGUCGAACAUCUCCAUGACUCUUCAAGAAGAGGACACCUGUGUUCUUCUAGAGCCUCCUGCUCUGCGACUGGUUGGCAAAGACUUCUGAGAAUAGGCUUCAUCCAAAGGGGGGAGGGACGAACCGCCAACACCGCCCACAAACUGUCGCCGGGCCCCUUCAGGUCCUCACACAGCUCUCAGAGUAGAUUUACAGCAGGACCGUGUGCGUCAGGUGACUCAUUGCAUAACGCGUGCGUGUCAGGUUGAAUCACGCACACGCUAACAGGCCCAUUCUUCACAUUUCAUAUUCAUAUAGGAUAUAUUAGUAGUACUAUAGUAGUAGUUUCCAGGGGAAUCCAGCAGAGGGAGCUCAGAGCGUUGCAUCAAACUUCUUCCUGCUAUUAAAGACACGGUGGAGUGACGUCAUCCACGUGCUCUCAUGAUGAAUUAUGCUCCUUUGAGGUUAAACUUUGUCUCUUUUUCUUCUUCUACAUGUCUGCUGUUUGUCUAACGUGUUUGAUUCACAUAGUUGGGUUUGAACGAGCUGUCAGCCUUAAUAAAGUCGCU
ensembl:lncRNA